rnacentral:rRNA from 4 species
CAUCCUCCAAGGCUAAAUACUCCUGACUGACCGAUAGUGAACCAGUACCGUGAGGGAAAGGCGAAAAGAACCCCGGCGAGGGGAGUGAAAAAGAACCUGAAACCGUGUACGUACAAGCAGUGGGAGCACCCUUUGGGGUGUGACUGCGUACCUUUUGUAUAAUGGGUCAGCGACUUAUAUUCUGUAGCAAGGUUAACCGAAUAGGGGAGCCGGAGGGAAACCGAGUCUUAACCGGGCGUUAAGUUGCAGGGUAUAGACCCGAAACC